AAAAACAUACAGGGGUGCUGGGCGUUCCCGGCUGAGAUUGAAGUAGCGACUUCUGACCCUCGAACCUGAAAUGGAUAAUGCCAGCGCAGGAAGUAGAAUAAAUGUCGAU
rnacentral:ncRNA from 1 species